UCGACAGCAAAGUGGGUUCUGACCAGAAAAAUACACACACACACACAAAAAAGAAAGGGACGCUGGAAUCUCUGCAACUAAAGCGUCUUUCUGGUUCGUCCAUUUCAAGAUCUUCAUAAUGCCAUAAAUUUACCAUUUUUAUUGACUUUUUAUCUGCAAUAAAAAUUCAUAAUUUAUUGUUCUCGUAUACAAUAAUUUCACUUUCUUGUUACCCAAUUCUUACUUUUCUUCCAAUCAGUCCUUAGUCUUUGCGCCUUUGUUUUUAACUCUUUAAAAAACGAGCCGCCGUUUAUUUUCUAGGGUUUCAAAUUAUCGAAAAUUCUUUGAUUCUUUGAUUUGGGUUUCUCUUUGAACCUUAGAUUUUAUCGAAAUUGUUCGACCCAUCACAGGUUUCUCAACCGGCUGAGUUUUAUUUCCGGGUUCAAAAUCGUGAAUUGAUCACUCCUUCGAGGGCUUUUUGUGUUUUUGUACCUGUAAUGGACGACGGGGAGCUUGAUUUUUCGAACCAGGAAGUGUUUUCCGGGAAUAACAUGGGUGAUAUCCCAAGCAGUUGUUCAAUGGACAGUUUUUUCGAUGAAUUGCUCAAUGAUUCUCAUGCUUGUACCCAUACACACACUUGUAACCCGCCUGGACCGGAUAACUCUCAUACACACACUUGUUUCCAUGUCCAUACCAAAAUUGUGCCUGCCUCAACUGAAGAUAAGGCUUCAAUCGAUGACACUGCUGGUUCUAAGGAGAAAUCGAAGAAACGACCGCUGGGGAAUCGAGAAGCUGUGAGGAAGUAUAGGGAAAAGGUUAAGGCACGAGCCGCGUCAUUGGAGGAUGAGGUUAUGAGAUUGAGAGCAGUGAACCAGCAGCUGUUGAAGAGAUUGCAGGGUCAAGCUGCAUUGGAGGCUGAGGUUGCGAGGCUUAAGUGUUUGCUCGUGGAUAUCCGGGGGAGAAUAGAAGGGGAGAUCGGUUCGUUUCCAUAUCAGAAAUCGGCAACUGCUGUUAACGGUAUGAACAUGCCUGGUGCUUAUGUGAUGAAUCCCUGCAAUGUGCAAUGCAAUGAUCAGAUGUAUUGCCUUCAUCCUGGGGCCGACGGGAGAACGGGAGAAGAUGCAGCCCUGAAUGGACAGGGAUUUAAUGGGUGUGACUUUGACAAUGUUCAGUGUUUGGCAGACUAUAACUCCGGAGCAAAGGAGCUUUCUACAGGUGGGGCUGGAAGUGGCGGGUGCAACGGCAAUUCUUCUGGCACUAAAAGGAGGAAAGGUGUUCGUCCAGCCACAGCAGGUUGAAAAACUGUCAAGUAUCAUCCAGAGUCUGCGGAGUACAAGAUUCGUCUUCCAUCAAGCAGUUUUCUUGGGUCGCAUUACUUUUUUCCCUCAGGUCGCAUUAAUUAGGGAAGAUGGAAUAUCUUUGAUGAUGUUUCGCUACUGUAAGCCCUUAUCGGGUGAGUUACGAGUUUCAGUCACUGUUAGAUGUAACAUGUCAUUCAUAUGGGAGACUGCAGCAUUCUCUUUAGGAAGGGUAUGAGUUGCAAUUCCGAGGGAAAUGCCUCAUCAUUGUCCGAUGAAAACUUACCGAUAAUUGUAAAAGAUGGCGUAGUCGAGCAUUGCAGGUGUUUCUUUUUGUUUCAUGGACUGAUGAUAAUCCCGGAGAGUAGUCGGCUUCUUAGCUUUCUUGGAGCUUACAAGUUACAAUUGAAACAAAAAUGGGGGAAAAGAGAAAAAAUGUGGCAUUUUGAUAUAUAUAUAUAUAUAUAUAUGAAGUGGUUGGAUUUUGAGGAUUCAAUGAACUAAUAGAUCUUGAAUUCCCUUUAUAA